rnacentral:rRNA from 1 species
GACGAACGCUGGCGGCGUGCUUAACACAUGCAAGUCGAACGAAGUGGCGAACGGGUGAGUAACGCGUAAUCAACCUGCCCUUCAGAGGGGGACAACAGUUGGAAACGACUGCUAAUACCGCAUACUGAAGGAGGGGAUUGCGUUUGAUUAGCUAGUUGGAGGGGUAACGGCCCACCAAGGCGAAGAUCAGUAGCCGGUCGUGGAGGAAUAACGGCAACAAUGGGAAUGAGAAACUGCCCAGACUCCUACGGGAGGCAGCAGGGGGGGAUCUUCCGAAAUGGGCGGAAGUCUGACGGAGCAACGGCGGGGGAGUGAUGACGGCCUUCGGGUUGUAAAGCUCUGUUAAGCGGGACGCGGUACCGGAAGAGAAAGCCACGGCUAACUACGUGCCAGCAGCCGCGGUAAUUC